AAUAACGUUACAUCGCCUUACAAUGUUGAAUGCUGUUUUUUAGCUAACAUCAUUGCUGUCUACUGUCCAGUAGCUAGCUAACGUUAGUUGGCUGGAUAUCACACGGAUGUAUUAGUUAGCAAUAAUGAGAUAAAUACAAGGCUAUGUUGGAUUGUUUUUAGCCUGUUUCCAAUGGGAAGGUUGCUAUCAUCUUUGACCUUCUGACUCCAAUGCAUUAGCUAACGUUGCAUUGCAAAAAGGCUGGCCCCUAGGUAGUCUCAUAUGUGCUUAACUAAACACAUUUACAGACAGGCAGCUUCCUAAAACGACGAAGAGGAAGUAAUUGCCACAGUCAACAAGAAAGUGCUGCCCUGUUUUCCUUGGUGGAAGUUCCAUUGCAAAUGGUGUAGGAACAGCUGUUUCACAAAGGUCAUGUGACCAGCUGAGAUGUA